rnacentral:sRNA from 1 species
AGUGAUUAGUAUUUUCAAAGUCACAAGCUCUCUUGCUUGCAAGAAAGAGAUUGGGACCUUGAAAAUUAAACAUAAAUGAGGAAGUAGCGAUGCGAAGCAUCAGCGGAAUCCGAAUUUAUGUAGGAUUGUGUGAGUUGCGAAGCAACGUAACAAUCCGUAAUCACU